AUACGUAGGGUGCAAGCGUUAAUCGGAAUUACUGGGCGUAAAGCGUGCGCAGGCGGUUUUGUAAGACAGUGGUGAAAUCCCCGGGCUCAACCUGGGAACUGCCAUUGUGACUGCAAGGCUGGAGUGCGGCAGAGGGGGAUGGAAUUCCGCGUGUAGCAGGGAAAUGCGUAGAUAUGCGGAGGAACACCGAUGGCGAAGGCAAUCCCCUGGGCUUGCACUGACGCUCAUGCACGAAAGCGUGGGGAGCAAACAGGAUUAGAUACCCUGGUAGUCCACGCCCUAAACGAUGUCCACUGGUUGUUGGGGAUUUAUUUUCUCAGUAACGAAGCUAACGCGUGAAGUUGACCGCCUGGGGAGUACGGCCGCAAGGUUAAAACUCAAAUGAAUUGGCGGGG
rnacentral:rRNA from 1 species